AUUGAACGCUGGCGGCAUGCCUUACACAUGCAAGUCGAACGGCAGCACGGGAGCAAUCCUGGUGGCGAGUGGCGAACGGGUGAGUAAUAUAUCGGAACGUGCCCAGUCGUGGGGGAUAACGUAGCGAAAGCUACGCUAAUACCGCAUACGAUCUAUGGAUGAAAGCGGGGGAUCGCAAGACCUCGCGCGAUUGGAGCGGCCGACAUCAGACUAGGUAGUUGGUGAGGUAAAGGCUCACCAAGCCGACGAUCUGUAGCUGGUCUGAGAGGACGACCAGCCACACUGGGACUGAGACACGGCCCAG
rnacentral:rRNA from 1 species